GCGUCGAUGAAGAGCGCAGCCAGCUGCGUGAAUUAAUGUGAAUUGCAGGACACACUGAACAUCGACACCUUGAACGCACAUUGCGGCUCUGGCUCACUGCCAGAGCCACGCCUGUCCGAGGGUCGGCGAACAAGUCAUCGCCAGAGACCGACGCUCUCAGUGUCGGUCGAGGCGCGUUGGCGUGUCGCGCGGGCACAGUCCCGCUCGUCCGCCGUAGACUUCAGCCUCUCUCUUGGCUGCCAUUGAAGUGGCGCAGGGACAGGGCUCGAACGGGCCUUCUGUCUAGCGCACGUCCCUUAACAGGGGCGACCUUCUACGGCGACGCCACCUAGCUCGUCGACUUCGGUCGACGGGAGAGAGAGCGCGGUUUAUUGCCGCGGAAGGAAACCUCCCCGAUCGGUGUUCGCAUCGUCGGCAGUUUCUCGCAUCCGACCUCGGAUCAGACGGGGAUACCCGCUGAUUUUAAGCAUAUCAGUAAGCGGAGGAAAAAAAACU
rnacentral:misc_RNA from 1 species